rnacentral:rRNA from 1 species
AACGAACGCUGGCGGCAUGCCUAACACAUGCAAGUCGAACGAGACCUUCGGGUCUAGUGGCGCACGGGUGCGUAACGCGUGGGAACCUGCCUUUAGGUUCGGAAUAACUCAGAGAAAUUUGAGCUAAUACCGGAUGAUGUCUUCGGACCAAAGAUUUAUCGCCUUUAGAUGGGCCCGCGUUGGAUUAGCUAGUUGGUGGGGUAAAGGCCUACCAAGGCGACGAUCCAUAGCUGGUCUGAGAGGAUGAUCAGCCACACUGGGACUGAGACACGGCCCAGACGCCUUCGGGAGGCAGCAGGGGGGAAUAUUGGACAAUGGGCGAAAGCCUGAUCCAGCAAUGCCGCGGGAGUGAUGAAGGCCUUAGGGUUGUAAAGCCCUUUUACCCGAGAAGAUAAUGACAGUAUCGGGAGAAUAAGCCCCGGCUAACUCCGUG